rnacentral:lncRNA from 1 species
UGUCGCUCUCUCACCCAGGCUGGAGUGCAGUGGCGCUAUCUUGGCUCACUGCAACAUCUGCUUCCCAGGUUCAAGUGAUUAUCCUGCCUCAGCCUCCCAAGUUGCUGGGAUUACAGGCGUGUGCCACCACGCCUGGCUAAUUUACUAAACUAAUAAAUUACUAAAUUAGUAAGUUACUAGUAAAUUAGUAAUUACUAAAAUAUAAUUUUUAGUAGAGAUGGGAUUUCAUCAUGUUGGCCAGGCUGGUCAUGAACUCCUGACCUCAAUGGAUCCUCCUGCCUCAGCUUCCUGAGUAGCUGGGACCACAGGUGCACACCACCACGCCCAGGUAAUUAAUUUUUAUUUUUUGUAGAGUCGGGGGUCUCCCUAUGUUUCCCAGGCUGGCCUCGAACUCCUGACCUCAAGUGAUCCUCCCACCUCAGCCUCCCCGAGUGCUGGGAUUAAAGACGUGAGCCACGGCACCUGGCCUGAAUUUUCCUCAAAUUCAAAAAAUCCUGAUGAAGGUUUGGCUAAAAUCUUUGGUGAGUUACCCCACUCCCUGUGGAACCUCAGGCUGGAUUUGAAGAGUUGCGUGCAUGGUCCUCAUUGUCUCCCAGGUAACCUGUUCCCGCUGCUGUGAAGGGAAGGCAGGUGCUCUUCCUUGAGGCUAGAAUCUGUCUACGUGUCACAGUCUCAGGAAAUUAAGCAAAACAGAUGAUAAACACCUCAAAAGGACCCUACUGAGCAUCAGUGGAGCAGAGCAGGGCCAUGUGGGACUGCGGCGUCAGAUGCCACCUCACACUAGCUGUGACACACCUGCCUCGCCAGUUUCUGCUCUGAGGCCCCAAAGCCGAGCUGAACCUCCUCCAGGGGUUCUCAGCCCUAACUGAGCAUGAAAACCCCUGGGGCAAUCCUCUUUUUAACAAUUGAGACAUUCCACACACACCCCACAUCAGAUUUUGGGGUGUGGGGAUAGACCUUCACAUUUGUAGUUUUCUAACCCUCCAGGGGACACUAGGCUGAGACUCAUUGGUCUCCACUCUGAACCUUCCACUGAACAUGUGAGAAAAACUAAGGCCCAGGGAAGUCUUUAGCAGAGAGCUGAGACGGAGAAAAGGGUUCUGAACCACAGCUGUCUGCUGAAGGAAGCUGUCCAAAGGCCAGUGAAGUCUCUCCUGAGGGUGCCUGGGCUGUGCAUCAGGAGUGAAGGUUGAGGGUCACCUUAGGUGUGAGAAGGAGCAACUGGGAGAGUGGCGCUGAUGCUUCCCCCCGGGUUAGGAGGCAUUUGGAUCACAGAGCGAUGCCUGUUCAUUCCUGCUUGCAAGGGAGCAGAUCUCUCGACACCCGAUGGGCCUCUAUUCCGUUCCGGCAGCUGUCCGUGUCAGGAGCGCUGGGCUUGCUCCUCCCCACGGGAGCCAUCACAGAGGCCUCGGGCAGUCUGCAUAGACAACUGCCUGGCAGGUGACCAGGAGGGGAUGCAUGAGCAGAUGCAGGUAGCACUCGCAGUCCCCCUAGCUGUGCCCUCAGCACCUGCUGUCUAGGAGGCAGAAGCCUUGUUCUCGGCCUUGCAGGUGACCCCAGUGUCUCUGAAUUCGGCCCCAUAUGUGUAGGAGGGGAGUGAUUGCAUCUGAAGAUGGGAGUCUGGUUGGGGGUUUGGGAAGCUCCCAUCACCCCUCAAGAGUCCACUGACCAGCCCAGCUCACACCAGGUGGGCCUUGGCACUGGAGGCCACGGCUCAACUCUGCAGUUCCCUCUGGGCAGCAUUUCCAGGGACUCGUAGGUCAGCAUGGUCAUCAAGGACAGGUGGUGAGAGCAGCUCCUCAUUGUCCUGGUGACCCCGAUGGUUCAUUUUCUGGUGUCUCUGUGGUGAGCUCCUGUUACAUCAAGCGAGUGGAAACCACCGAGGACCAACAGCCCUGGAAAUGCACUGAGAAUGCAGGAUGAGUGGGCUUUGUGAGGACUGUUUUCUGUGACUUAGCAAGGAAAGCCUGGAAGGGAAAGUAAAACUGCUUCUUCCCAGGGAAGCCAGAAACCUGAGAACUUAAAAGGGAAGGAGAACUUAAUAUAUUUCAAAAAUGUAACCCUUGUGAAUUAGCAACAGCUUUAUAAACAAAGAGAUUUCCGAGCUUAUAGAAUCUAUUCUGCUUUGUUUCUGCCCCCAUGGCUCCUACCCCUGUUUUUGUGGGUACAAUUUUCAUAUAGAACAUUUUUACACAAGCUUCAAAACUCUCUGAGGACAGCUUUCCCCUUUGUGUCUGUCGGGUCCCAGGCAGUCACAUCCCAGGAAGUGCUGGGGUUGGGCUCCUUGCUCCACAUCCUUCUUCAGUGGCACGAAGCGUGGGGUGGAGUGUGUGAGUCAUGUGUGAUCUUGGUGUGGGCUAUGGCUGGUCUGCAGCACCCCUUCAAUGACUGCUUCAAGGGCUUUUCAUGAUGCUUGUAGCUCAUGAGCUAGUGUUUCCUAGAUGCUGUUUCCAGGUGUCUUGCAUGUCACACACUGGCCUACCAGGGCUGGAGUGAGAUCAUGAGCGCCAGAUUGUUGGUGAAGGAAGUUGACAGAGACAUCGAAUGUCGGUGAACAGGAGUGACCUUGGGUCUCAAUAAAUACUGUGGUCAACUGAAUCCAGAACCCACCCUUACCAGCAGGGCCCACUUCUUCCCCAGCAGGCCGAGCUCUUCCCCUCCUGUCUUCCCUGGCCCUUGCUUUGUAGCUCUGUGUGGCUGUGUCAUGUCUGGUUGUAUCUGUAUAUACUUCUGCCUCUCCCGCUAUCUAGAUGGCUCGGGGAGGCACACCACACACCAGGUCACCUUCCUCUCUGAACCCCCAGCACCUCAUACUGUUUCUGUGCAGAGAUAAGGCUGGGUGAAAGCUUGUGUGAAUGAUCUGAAGUCUUCUACUCUAGGCCAGUCUCCAGGAGCAUUAUGAUCUUUAGGAGGGUGGGCUUGGUUCCUCUGUACAAUAAUGGGUCAUAAAACUGAGUGGUCAAGAUCAUCCCGGUGAGGGCAGUCCGUGUGUUGCCAUAGUUGCUGUACCGGUUAAGAAUGCACCUGGCUGCAAUUUCCUGAAAACCUGACGUAUAGUGGCUUAAACAAAGAGUGGUUUAUUUUCCUUCUGUCAUAGCAAUCUGGGGGAGGCCACUGUGGCUUUGGCGCAGGAGGUCGGGAAAGGCCCGCUUCUCUGAUAUCAUUGGGGGCCUCCCCAGUGCUUGUGUGGCAGAAUGACAAGAGGAAGAAGAAGGAGAAUUAUGGCACUGAGUAUCAUGAGAUUUGGGGUCAUAUAUCUUUAGUGGGCGGUGUUUGCUGCCCCAAAUGUCUCAUGCCAUUAAAAUGUUCUGGAAAUGAUUUAGGUAGUUGGAGUUUCCUUCCCAAAGACAAGGCAUUUACAGCAUGAUGUCCAAUAUCCAUUGAGUUUGUGUCAUGCAUUCAUUGUAUUCAUAGUCUGCUUUAGGUACUUAGCAAAAUAUUGCUGAUAUUAACAUGCCUUUGUUUGCUUCACUGGAGAUGAAAUUGUGCUCCAAGUGUUUUCCAAGGUUCCGUAUGACCCAUCAUUUGAUGAAACAAGAACAGCAGUCAGAUCCAUUACAAAGAGAGACACACAAAAAAGCUAUUCCCAACAGAAGAGCUUGAACAAUGCUGCAUUUGCAUCAGGUUCAAAUGAGCGAGAGGAACAUUUGGCUAAAAUAUUUGAUGAAAUUCUACUGCAGGUGUUUCCAAAGUUUCCGUAUGACCCAUCAUUUAACGAAGCAACAGCAGUCAGAUCCAUUACAAAGACAGACAUGAGAAAAGGAACCAGCAUUGCUUGGAAUUCUCCUAAACCAGAAUAUUUCCUUGGCAGUGUGGACAAAAUUCCUGAUAAAGAGAUGGGGUUUCACUGUGUUAGCCAGGAUGGUCUCGAUCUCCUGACCUCAUGAUCCGCCCGCCUCGGCCUCCCAAAGUGCUGGGAUUACAGGCGUGAACCACCAUGCCCGGCCCAGAAUGUCCUUUCUUUUCGAAGCGGAGUAAUAUUCCAUUAUCACCUUUCAGAGGAGAAGAAUUUUAAAGAAUCCUGUCUGUUCGACAGGGAUUUAAGAGAGCAGUUAACUACUAUAGAUAAAGAAACACUUCAAGGAGCAGCUAAACCAGAUCUCCUCUGGCAAACACGACAUAUAAUAUUUUUAUAAUGGAUGGAAAGACAUGGUGGCACAAUUCUGAAGAAAAAAAUUUCACAAAACUUGCAAAAAAACAGAAACAGUUGAAGAGCAGCUCCUGUGUCUAAGCCAGGUCGUGGGGCCGUCAAACCAGGACUUGAAACCACAAUGCGAGGACAUUCUCCAUCUGCGCACCACAGGGAGGCAAUUCCAUUUCUGCCCGGGAGGUGUAUUCUACAAAAACGUCUGCUUCCCAUCCCAAUUUGAAUGGACCAAGAAAAACUGCUUUACCAUAGGACACUUGUGGCAAUAUGGCACCGAUGGCUGGCGUCGGUGAACCCGACAGACUAUGGAUUUAUCAUUUAAUAAAGCAUUGAUUCAUUUUUUCAGUCAUUCAUUGAACAGAUAUUAAUAGACCACCUCACAUGCUGACAAUAUCAAAAUACAAUGAGGAAACUAACAGUGACCCAGGCAUGCAUUCUUCCCCGAGCAAGAUCACAGUCCAUGGUGUGAGCACAACCAUACUAAAUAGCUUUUAUGGGAGGUGGGAGUACAGAAAGUAUUAUAUCUGCAAAGAAACUGCUAAGAAUUGUGGGAGCGCCCCAGGAGGUGAUUUCCUGCUUGCGUGACCAGCACAAAGAAAUGGGGUAAUUGAGAGUGUCAUGAAGUGGGGUUAUUUAUUUAUUGAGUC